ACCAGUGUGGCGUAGUGGUUUGAGUUUUGGACUAUGACUCUGGAGACCAGGGUUCGAUUCCCAACUCAGCCA